GAUGAAGAACGUAGCGAAAUGCGAUACGUAAUGUGAAUUGCAAAUUCAGUGAAUCAUCGAGUCUUUGAACGCACAUUGCGCCCCCUGGUAUUCCGGGGGGCAUGCCUGUCCGAGCGUCAUUGCUGCCCUCAAGCACGGCUUGUGUGUUGGGCCUCCGUCCUCCUCCCGGGGGACGGGCCCGAAAGGCAGCGGCGGCACCGCGUCCGGUCCUCGAGCGUAUGGGGCUUCGUCACCCGCUCUUGUAGGCCCGGCCGGCGCUUGCCGACACAUCAAUCUUUUUUCCAGGUUGACCUCGGAUCAGGUAGGGAUACCCGCUGAACUUAAGCAUAUCAAUAAGCGGAGGA
rnacentral:misc_RNA from 1 species